rnacentral:miRNA from 1 species
GUGAUAGCCACUAUCCAUCUCC